rnacentral:tRNA from 1 species
CCUUCGAUAGCUCAGUUGGUAGUGCAGAGGACUGUAGGUAUAAAAGCAGAGAUUCUUAAGUUGCUAGUUCAAAUCUGUCUCGAAAGA